rnacentral:rRNA from 1 species
UUCGAUGAUACGCGAGGAAACCUUACCCGGGGCNCGAAACGGCAGAGGGAACAAUUCCAGAGAUNGGUGCNGCCCCUUCGGGGCUUUCUGUCGAGGUUGCUGCAUGGUUGUCGUCAGCUUCGUGCCGUGAGGUGUCGGGCUCAAGUGCCAUAACGAGGAACCCUUGCCGUCAGUUACCAUCAAGUAGUGGUUGGGGACUCUGGCGGGACUUGCCACCCGCAAGGUGUGAGGAAGGGGGGGAUGACGUCAAAUCAGCACGGCCCUUACGUCCGGGGCGACACACGUGUUACAAUGGCGGCCACAGAGGGGCACUACCUGGCGACAGGAUGGGAAUCUCGAAAAGCCGUCUCAGUCCGGAUCGGAGUCUGCAACCCGACUCCGUGAAGCUGGAUUCGCUAGUAAUCGCGCAUCAGCCAUGGCGCGGUGAAUACGUUCCCGGGCCUUGUACACACCGCCCGUCAAGCCAUGAAAGUCUGGGGCGCCUGAAGUCCGUGACCGAGAGGAGCGGCCUAGGGCGAAACAGGUAAUUGGGGCU